GAUGAACGCUGGCGGCGUGCUUAACACAUGCAAGUCGAACGGGGAACCUUUUAUUGAAGCUUCGGCAGAUUUAGAUUGUUUCUAGUGGCGGACGGGUGAGUAACGCGUGGGUAACCUGCCUUAUACAGGGGGAUAACAGUCAGAAAUGACUGCUAAUACCGCAUAAGCGCACAGAGCUGCAUGGCUCAGUGUGAAAAACUCCGGUGGUAUAAGAUGGACCCGCGUUGGAUUAGCUAGUUGGUGAGGUAACGGCCCACCAAGGCGACGAUCCAUAGCCGGCCUGAGAGGGUGAACGGCCACAUUGGGACUGAGACACGGCCCAGACUCCUACGGGAGGCAGCAGUGGGGAAUAUUGCACAAUGGGGGAAACCCUGAUGCAGCGACGCCGCGUGAAGGAAGAAGUAUCUCGGUAUGUAAACUUCUAUCAGCAGGGAAGAAAAUGACGGUACCUGACUAAGAAGCCCCGGCUAACUA
rnacentral:rRNA from 1 species